CUCACUCUGUCACUCAAACUGGAGUGCAGUGGUGCAGUCAUGGCUCACUGCAGCCUGGAACUCCUGGGCUCAAGUGAUCCUCCUGCCUCAGCCUCCUGAGUAGCUGAGACUACAGGCACGUGCAAGCAUGCCCAGGGACGAAGUGGAAAGGAAGGUGCAAUACAAUCACUUGUGGAUUCAGGAUCUGCAUACCUGACCGGCAGACCUGCUUGCUGGCUUGGAACCUCCUGAAGUUCAUGACUGUCUAAUGAAUUCUGAAUCAGCCAUCCUCUGCAAUUUCCUUGCUAUGUCGGAGUCAGCGAGAUUCUAUUACCUGCUCUGGGCCUUAGGUUUCAUGCCUGCAAAAUGGGCCGAGUGAAAUAGAUCUGUGUUUGCCUAACUGGAGUUGUUCCUGUUCUAUCUUUAUGAUUUUUGCCAUAUCGUCUAUAUUAUUUAGCAUUUUUAUAUCUGUACCAUCUAUAUUAUUUACUUAACAUUUUUCUUGCAUCGGUUCACUUAUUUUUAGCUAUAUAAAUAUUAUUUCAAAAGGAAACCUUAUGUCAAUACAUAAGCAGAAAACCUAUACCUCUUGCCAUAAAUGGGAG
rnacentral:lncRNA from 10 species